AGUACACCUAAAUGUAGAUAAUGGACGUCCUGUUGACUUUGGCUGUCCUCACGGUACCGGCAGUCAUCUCAGGACUACAGGCAUGCUCCUCGGGGACAGACACCAGCUCCACUCAAAUCCUGCUGGAUGUGUCUUCCACACAGAUCAACACAGGGGGAGGGAUGUGUUCCUGUAGACUGACUGUGACACAGACAACACAGGUGGAUAUGUUCACUGUUAGCUGGACACCACAGUGUGAUACAUACAUGACUAUACAGAAGUGGGGGACCAGUACACAGUGUACAAAUGGUGUUGUACAAACUCCACCUGCAAAGACUCACACCAUCACUACCGGUGAGGAGAUAUGGAUCCUGGUGGUGGCUACAAAACCUGGAUCCAGAGGACUGUCAGGACAGCUGCAGUUAAAGGCGAAGCAGCCAUCAGCACUACAGACAUGCUCCUCAGGGACAAAGACCAGCUCCACUCAAAUCCUGCUGGAUGUGUCUACCACACAGAUCAACACAAGGGGAGGGAUGUGUUCCUGUAGAGUGACUGUGUCACAGAAAACACAGGUGGAUAUGUUCCCUGUUAGCUGGACACCAGGAUGUGAUACAUACAUGACUAUACCGAAGUGGAAGACAAGUACACAGUGUACAAAUGGUGCUGUUCAGUCUCCACCUGCACAGACUCACACCGUCAACACUGGUGAGGAGAUCUGGAUCCUGGUGGUGGCUACAAUACCUGGAACCAGAGGACUGUCAGCACAACUGCAGUUCAAGGCGAAGCAACCAUCAGACCAGCUAAACAUAGAGUGUUUUGAGCCUAACAGUAACAGCAGCACAACUACUACUCCUUCAACAACCACCGUGACGGCUUCAACAACUUCAUCGACAUCGAGGAGAAAUGUUGUAACAACGACAUCUCCAAAAACUACCAGGAGAAUUACACCUACAUCUACAUCUCUGCCUACCACUCACACUGAAACAUUACGUUCACCUGACACCACAUCUCAAGGACAGCCCACAUCCCCUCCAGGAUCAACUGCAGGGACGAGGACUACUGAAGCUUCUACUGCUCAGUACCACAGGGCAGGAUGUCAUACCUGUAAUGAUGAUUUUCCAGGUGGCAUCUUUGCUGCUGGAGUUGCUACAGGCGCCGUGUUGGUCCUCAUUGCUGGCGGACUGUACGUCGUCAUAUCAAGGCGACAAUGGUGGACAUCCCGCCAUCAGAAGACCGACGACAUCCCAAUCUCUGAAGCCCAUCCAACCUACUCUGGGUUCACAUCCAGAACAGAGGAGCCCAUUAACAUCUACGACAAAUUAGAUCCAAAACCUUCCAAGGGGACGGACCAUCCAUAUAUCAAUGUGUCAUAGAUUAAGUAUCUUGUUCUGCGUCAUGCUCUACCGGUUAAUUUAAAAAUGUUGCACCCCUGGAUAUCACAGUUAAGUGAAAAUCAUAAUUACUUGUAGAGAAGGGGCAUAAGUCCCAAUCGAUGAUGUAUGGAUAUGGUCAUUUGUAUGAGUAAUUUCGGGCGUAAGUUUCUGUCCAUCAUGUGUGGUAAUGGACGUCUUUACGAAUCGCCUCAGACUUCUGUCCAUGAGGCGUGGGCAUGGACAUCUUUACAAGUAUGUUCUAACGUAAUCGCUAUCAAUGAUGUGUGGAUCUUGACAUCUUUACAAGUAGGUUCUAACGUAAUCGCUAUCAAUGAUGUGUGGAUCUGGACAUCUUUACGAGUAGGUUCGGGUGUAAGUCCGUGUCAGUGAUGAGUGGAUAUGGAGAUCUUUACGAGUAGGUUCUGGCGUAAUCCCUAUCAAUGAUGUGUGGAUAUGGACAUCUUAACGAGUAGGUUCUGGGAAACGUAAUGUCAACCCUCUGUCAAUAUUGAUGUCAACCUUUGUAUUUCGAAGAACAUGCAAAGAUUAAAUUUGUGGUAAUCAGCGGACUUUGCUUUGAUAAUGCAUUGUUUAUUUUAGUUAUUGUGUUGUUUUGCACAGUGUCUGUUAGUCAGUUGUUAGUCUGUCAACUCUGUUGGGUCAAUGCCUGGAGAUUAGGAAAUGCAGUAUGUUCUGCUUGAAAACACAAAGCCUCGUGUCAUAGUGUUAUUCGGUAUAUACACAUUAUGAGACAAAAGAGAGGGACGUGUGGUCAGUUCGUCUUAGUCAUUAUAAUGGUUUGUCAGCUUCAUACCAUAUACGUUUGGGAACAUUUGCAUAAGUGACAUCGGGCGUGUCUCCUCAUUUUGAUCUGAAACGCAACAAACUAUAAACCAUAGUAAACUUCAGUUCAAUGAAUGGCGAUUUACCCGAACCAAGUGACACGAAAACAAAUUACAGAAACACAAGCUUCCUCUACGAGUAAGUCGACACUGAGCAGUGAACUUAUCUAAGGGAUGAUGAUAAACAUCACAAAACUCAAGUCACUGUUUGUGGCCACAUAUACAUUUGCAUACCCUGUUAUUGCUAUGAAACUAAUUAUCACAGAAUACAUAUUUUAUGUAAGAGAUCAACAAUUUCCCAGACGCUUGUUGAAUACUGAAUACUUUGUCGACACUGAGACAUCAGGCUGUUAUUGCCGGCAUAGUGGUUAAACUGUCUAAGGGAUAACAAAGACACUGUCUUAUUCUCGUGAUUGUUAUGCACCUACAUUACUUCCUGUUUGAAGAAAUGAUGUACCGUGUACAUUUACUGGAACAUGUAUUUCCUCAGGGGGUAUCAUAGGAGACACUAUCGCCAUUCAUUAUAUCGAAAUUAUCGACACAGUGGACUUAAUGAUCCAUAACAUACUCCUCCACUGAAACAUAUAUAUAUGGGAAGUUACUGGUACAAAUCUGUCGGCGCUCGGGUUUCGUGUCAGACUAACCUGAUUGGUUUAGCAUGACAUAAACCAGUUACAAAACGACUUUUCCUUCAAUGUGUGUAGUGUACAUAUAUCUUUUGCAAAACAAACCUGUUUCUGAUCUUUAGUUUAAGACAAUAUGUUUAGUUGUUCCUGCUGUGAUCUUACCAGACACGCAAAGAACUGUUUUCAUUUCAACUGGAUUAGUGAAGCCGAUAUCGGGUUCAUGGAUUAUUGAAAUGCAUCUGGGGCAUCUUUAUAUGAGGCCUCUUGUGGUGUACACGCCCAUUUGUUGAAUAAUAGCAAAAUGAGCACGUUAUGGUAUUAAAGACGUAUUCCUUCACA